CCUACGGGCCGCAGCAGUGGGGAAUAUUGCACAAUGGGCGCAAGCCUGAUGCAGCCAUGCCGCGUGUAUGAAGAAGGCCUUCGGGUUGCAAAGUACUUUCAGCGGGGAGGAAGGCGAUAAGGUUAAUAACCUUGUCGAUUGACGUUACCCGCAGAAGAAGCACCGGCUAACUCCGUGCCAGCAGCCGCGGUAAUACGGAGGGUGCAAGCGUUAAUCGGAAUUACUGGGCGUAAAGCGCACGCAGGCGGUUUGUCAAGUCGGAUGUGAGAUCCCCGGGCUCAACCUGGGAACUGCAUUCGAAACUGGCAGGCUGGAGUCUUGUAGAGGGGGGUAGAAUUCCAGGUGUAGCGGUGAAGUGCGUAGAGAUCUGGAGGAAUACCGGUGGCGAAGGCGGCCCCCUGGACAAAGACUGACGCUCAGGUGCGAAAGCGUGGGGAGCAAACAGGAUUAGAUACCCGGGUAGUC
rnacentral:rRNA from 1 species